rnacentral:rRNA from 1 species
UACGGACGGUGCAAGCGUUGCUCGGAAUUACUGGGCGUAAAGGGCGCGUAGGCGGCCUUCUAAGUCGAACGUGAAAUCCCUGGGCUCAACCCAGGAACUGCGUCCGAUACUGGCCGGCUUGAAUUCGGGAGAGGGAUGCGGAAUUCCAGGUGUAGCGGUGAAAUGCGUAGAUAUCUGGAGGAACACCGGUGGCGAAGGCGGCAUCCUGGACCGAGAUUGACGCUGAGGCGCGAAAGCCAGGGGAGCAAACGGG